GUUGGGAUACCUCAGUUGGUAGAGCAUGAGGUGCUAAAUCUCAGAGUUGUGGGUUCAAGCCCCCUCUUGGGCA